CUGCCGGCGGGUCCUCGGGCUUGGGCGCCGCGGAGGCCGGGUGGCGGGGCUGGGUGGCCGAACCGGGCGGGUCGACCAGCACUCCCUCCCGCUUGGCGGGCCCUCCGGUCCGCCCGGUGGUCUGGCUGCACCGGGAGGACGGGCGCGGGUGGGGGAAGGCGCCGGGGGCUCGGCCGCCGCGAGUCGUAGUGGACCCCGGCGGUCGAAGGGUGCGGCUCUGGGGUUCCGUCGGACUUAGUCGCGAGUGAGGAGGGAGCUCGCGGACCGGCAGGGUCGCGGGGAGGCCCUGGGAGGCCUUUGGAGGGGGCCGGCGCGCCGUGGCUCCGGGGUGGGGGGGCUCGCCCGCGGGCCCUAGCGUUUGGAGGAGCGGGCCGGCGGGCGGGUGUGGGGCUCGCUCCUGUUGGACUUGCUCGCGGAGGGGCCCCGCGGGGUGCGCGGCGCGGGGUGGUGAGGAGGCCUCGCUCGCCGGCGCCCCGGCCUCCGGUCGACCAGUUGGCCCUGAGUGCUCCGUGACUGACAGCGAUGGGGUCGUUUGAGGAGCCGGCUCGCGGCUCCUCGCUCCAGAAGGCCGGCUCGGCCGUGGGGAUUUCCCCCGCUGCCUUGCGUGACAGAUCUUUUGUCCAGAGGUGGGCGUUUUGUGCCUGCAGGUUUAUGUGGACACGCUGUUCCUCGGUGGCUGUCGCUGCCGAAGGAAGGGGGUCGGGCCUCUGAAAGGCGAGUGGGGCUCCUCUGCGCUCUGCGCUCUGCGCUCUGCGCUCUGCGCUCUGCGCUCUGCGCUCUGCGCUCUGCGCUCUGCGCUCUGCGCUCUGCGCUCUGCGCUCUGCGCUCUGCGCUCUGCGCUCUGCGCUCUGCGCUCUGCGCUCUGCGCUCUGCGCUCUGCGCUCUGCGCUCUGCGCUCUGCGCUCUGCGCUCUGCGCUCUGCGCUCUGCGCUCUGCGCUCUGCGCUCUGCGCUCUGCGCUCUGCGCUCUGCGCUCUGCGCUCUGCGCUCUGCGCUCUGCGCUCUGCGCUCUGCGCUCUGCGCUCUGCGCUCUGCGCUCUGCGCUCUGCGCUCUGCGCUCUGCGCUCUGCGCUCUGCGCUCUGCGCUCUGCGCUCUGCGCUCUGCGCUCUGCGCUCUGCGCUCUGCGCUCUGCGCUCUGCGCUCUGCGCUCUGCGCUCUGCGCUCUGCGCUCUGCGCUCUGCGCUCUGCGCUCUGCGCUCUGCGCUCUGCGCUCUGCGCUCUGCGCUCUGCGCUCUGCGCUCUGCGCUCUGCGCUCUGCGCUCUGCGCUCUGCGCUCUGCGCUCUGCGCUCUGCGCUCUGCGCUCUGCGCUCUGCGCUCUGCGCUCUGCGCUCUGCGCUCUGCGCUCUGCGCUCUGCGCUCUGCGCUCUGCGCUCUGCGCUCUGCGCUCUGCGCUCUGCGCUCUGCGCUCUGCGCUCUGCGCUCUGCGCUCUGCGCUCUGCGCUCUGCGCUCUGCGCUCUGCGCUCUGCGCUCUGCGCUCUGCGCUCUGCGCUCUGCGCUCUGCGCUCUGCGCUCUGCGCUCUGCGCUCUGCGCUCUGCGCUCUGCGCUCUGCGCUCUGCGCUCUGCGCUCUGCGCUCUGCGCUCUGCGCUCUGCGCUCUGCGCUCUGCGCUCUGCGCUCUGCGCUCUGCGCUCUGCGCUCUGCGCUCUGCGCUCUGCGCUCUGCGCUCUGCGCUCUGCGCUCUGCGCUCUGCGCUCUGCGCUCUGCGCUCUGCGCUCUGCGCUCUGCGCUCUGCGCUCUGCGCUCUGCGCUCUGCGCUCUGCGCUCUGCGCUCUGCGCUCUGCGCUCUGCGCUCUGCGCUCUGCGCUCUGCGCUCUGCGCUCUGCGCUCUGCGCUCUGCGCUCUGCGCUCUGCGCUCUGCGCUCUGCGCUCUGCGCUCUGCGCUCUGCGCUCUGCGCUCUGCGCUCUGCGCUCUGCGCUCUGCGCUCUGCGCUCUGCGCUCUGCGCUCUGCGCUCUGCGCUCUGCGCUCUGCGCUCUGCGCUCUGCGCUCUGCGCUCUGCGCUCUGCGCUCUGCGCUCUGCGCUCUGCGCUCUGCGCUCUGCGCUCUGCGCUCUGCGCUCUGCGCUCUGCGCUCUGCGCUCUGCGCUCUGCGCUCUGCGCUCUGCGCUCUGCGCUCUGCGCUCUGCGCUCUGCGCUCUGCGCUCUGCGCUCUGCGCUCUGCGCUCUGCGCUCUGCGCUCUGCGCUCUGCGCUCUGCGCUCUGCGCUCUGCGCUCUGCGCUCUGCGCUCUGCGCUCUGCGCUCUGCGCUCUGCGCUCUGCGCUCUGCGCUCUGCGCUCUGCGCUCUGCGCUCUGCGCUCUGCGCUCUGCGCUCUGCGCUCUGCGCUCUGCGCUCUGCGCUCUGCGCUCUGCGCUCUGCGCUCUGCGCUCUGCGCUCUGCGCUCUGCGCUCUGCGCUCUGCGCUCUGCGCUCUGCGCUCUGCGCUCUGCGCUCUGCGCUCUGCGCUCUGCGCUCUGCGCUCUGCGCUCUGCGCUCUGCGCUCUGCGCUCUGCGCUCUGCGCUCUGGGGCCGAGGGCCGCGUUGUUCCCCGUGCGCGCGGGAGCAUCGCGCCCGGGGGUGCGGAUUCCCCGUGGCCUCUGGGGGCUCGCUCGGCCGGGAGGGGUCCCCUCCCGGUCCCGAGCCUCGGCCCGGCCGCCCCGCUCCUGCGGCGGGGG
rnacentral:lncRNA from 1 species